rnacentral:rRNA from 1 species
UGGGGAAUAUUGCACAAUGGGCGCAAGCCUGAUGCAGCGACGCCGCGUGAGGGAUGACGGCCUUCGGGUUGUAAACCUCUUUUGUUAGGGAGCAAGCGAGAGUGAGUGUACCUUUCGAAUAAGCACCGGCUAACUACGUGCCAGCAGCCGCGGUAAUACGUAGGGUGCAAGCGUUAUCCGGAAUUAUUGGGCGUAAAGAGCUCGUAGGCGGCUUGUCGCGUCCGGUGUGAAAGUCCAUCGCUUAACGGUGGAUCUGCGCCGGGGACGGGCAGGCUAGAAUGCGGUAGGGGAGACUGGAAUUCCCGGUGUAACGGUGGAAUGUGUAGAUAUCGGGAAGAACACCAAUGGCGAAGGCAGGUCUCUGGGCCGUUAUUGACGCUGAGGAGCGAAAGCGUGGGGAGCGAACA